UUGCCAGCGGUUCGGCCGGGCACGUCUAACGGGACUGCCCGCGAAAGCGGGAGGAAGGAGGGGACGACGUCUGGUCAGCAUGGCCCUUACGGCCUGGGCGACACACGUGCUACAAUGCCCACUACAAAGCGAUGCCACCGGCAACGGGAGCUAAUCGCAAAAAGGUGGGCCCAGUUCGGAUUGGGGUCUGCAACCCGACCCAUGAAGCCGGAAUCGCUAGUAAUCGCGGAUCAGCCAUGCCGCGGUGAAUACGUUCCCGGGCCUU
rnacentral:rRNA from 1 species